UUUAACGGUAAAGAUGUUCUAAACAAAAUGGCUUCAAGACAGCCUAUUUAACAGGUUGAAAACGUUUGCCAAAAUUAAACGAAUCUCAACAGCCAAAAGGGUGUGAUAUAUUUUGAAUUGUUCUGCUGAGGGUGCUUUAGAUUGUUGAUCAAUUGUGCGAUAUUUUUCGCUCUCCAACUUUUCUUUUAUACUCUUUGUGCUAAAUAUCCAAAGAGAUUCUCGAUUGGCCGGCAUUGUGGCAGACUUGACGAAUUAUGUUCUUUGGCUUUAAGGUCGAAUGUGCAUGGAUCGUUAAAAAGAGAAAUACUGUAAAUAAAUAUGAAUCGGAUAUUCAAAGUCUCGAGUAUUUUUACUACAUAGGCUUCGACGUCACGCGGAAACGCAAGAAUGUGGGCAACAAUACUUUUCACUUUCUUUGUUGCGAAAGUGGGCGAUUUUCGAAUGCGAAAGACAUUUUGGAGCUUUUCGGAGUUAUUUCUCGAGUUUAUUUGCGUUUUAUAUAAAGAUAAUCAUAAGGUACUUAAACUUAAGCAAUGGCGUCAUCAAAUGGUGCACACUAGGUGAGUAAUCCUACAAUUUUUUGUUUAUAGCAUAGUUUAUAUGGAUUAUUCCCAAAAAAUACGUGUUUUGGAAAUGUUGA